GACGUAGGGUGCGAGCGUUGUCCGGAUUUAUUGGGCGUAAAGAGCUCGUAGGCGGCUUGUCGCGUCUGCUGUGAAAACCCGAGGCUCAACCUCGGGCCUGCAGUGGGUACGGGCAGACUAGAGUGCGGUAGGGGAGAUUGGAAUUCCUGGUGUAGCGGUGAAAUGCGCAGAUAUCAGGAGGAACACCGGUGGCGAAGGCGGGUCUCUGGGCCGAUACUGACGCUGAGGAGCGAAAGCGUGGGGAGCGAACAGG
rnacentral:rRNA from 1 species